AUGAUACAGGUGACUAUCAGGCGGUGGAUGAUCCUUUUCAAAAAACAUCAUUUGGAGGGGCUGAAAAAAAAUGUCCAAUAUGAUAAAUCAGCUCAUACAAACCCCCUUCAGGCUGGGGGUGGGCUGAUCUAUGGAGGAGUGACGCAGCUGGGCAAUGCAGAGGGGCUGGAGAGGUCAAUGCUCAACAAGCUGUCGCUGUUUUCAAAACCUGCAGAUGGCAACGAACCUUCCUCUCCUCACGGAAGAGAUUGGAACCUCAAGCAUGUGGUGUCCAGCCCAACUACGCCGCUAGAUCUUACUGCUUCUCCAACACAAUCCCCUCUGAAGAAGAAGGGGGCUGAAACAGUCUGGAAAUGA
rnacentral:rRNA from 1 species